AUUGAACGCUGGCGGCAUGCCUAACACAUGCAAGUCGAACGAGUGGCGGACGGGUGAGUAAUGUCUGGGAACCUGCCUGAUUGAGGGGGAUAACUACUGGAAACGGUAGCUAAUCCCGCAUACCAUUAGCUGUGCCCAGAUGGGAUUAGCUUGUUGGUGGGGUAACGGCUCACCAAGGCCACGAUCCCUAGCUGGUCUGAGAGGAUGACCAGCCACACUGGAACUGAGACACGGUCCAGACUCCUACGGGAGGCAGCAGUGGGGAAUAUUGCACAAUGGGCGCAAGCCUGAUGCAGCCAUGCCGCGUGUAUGAAGAAGGCCUUCGGGUUGGAAAGUACUGUCAGCGGGGAGGCGUGACCCGCAGAAGAAGCACCGGCUAACUCCGUGCCAGCAGCCGCGGUAAUUC
rnacentral:rRNA from 1 species